CGAGUGGUCGGGACGAUUAUUGGGCCUAAAGCAUCCGUAGCCGGUUUCGUAGGUCUCCUGUCAAAUUCAACCGCUUAACGGUUGAGCCGCAGGAGAUACCGCGAGACUAGGAGGCGAGAGAGGCGGACGGUACUCCGCAGGUAGGGGUAAAAUCCUUUGAUCUGCGGAAGACCACCAGAUUGUCUGCGCCAAUCGCAGGCAAGGUGAAUGGCGAAGGCGGUCCGCCAGAACGCGCUCGACGGUGAGGGAUGAAAGCUGGGGGAGCGAACCGGAUUAGAUACCCGGGUAGUCCCAGCCGUAAACGAUGCGAGCUAGAUGAUCCGAUCGCAGUUCGCGAUCGGAGUGUCGCAGGGAAGCCGUUAAGCUCGCCGCCUGGGGAGUACGGUCGCAAGGCUGAAACUUGAAGGAAU
rnacentral:rRNA from 1 species